rnacentral:siRNA from 1 species
UCGGUAGCUGAAAUGAAUGUUG